rnacentral:tRNA from 2 species
UCUCAUGUAGCUCAGUGGUAGAGCCGCUACUAUGUAGUGUGAUUGCGUUGGUUCGAGUCCAACCAUGGGAU